rnacentral:lncRNA from 1 species
GGAGACGAGUCACAUGUGUCUUCCUAACCCUGGAAGCCAGUCAGGGACCAACAAGGCUCUACCCACCAUGCAGCAGAGAUGCUACUCUCUGCCCUGUCUACUGCCACAUCCUGGCUCCAAAACAUGCUUGGCUCAUGGCAGGUGCCCAACAAAUCACAUCAGUACGUGCAGUUACACAGCACAGACCCAGGUGCAUGUCCCGGUAAGGGCCUUUCCUCCAUUCCAUCUGGAGCUUUCAUCCCCAAAUGUAGUUUCUGGGCCUAACUGGAAACCCCCAACUGUGGCAACAGCCAGCGCUCUCAGCCGGAUGCGGCCUCCAGACCCACUCGGUCCACGUCCUUUUCCUCUGACGUCCUGACAUGAACCGUAAUGAAGUGUCAAUUUUCACCAACCUCAACUAACUAUAUUCUUAGGCUAACCUACAAAUCAUGAAAAUUCGGACACAGGACUUUUCAAACAGCACCUGCUCCCAAACCACACCGCUGCACAUGGGCUCUGGGGCCUGAGGAGAGAGGGGAAGGCAGCUCCCAGACCUACUGGCCUGCAGACUGCAGCCACCUUCCACAGGAACAGAUGCCCAGGCCACAUCCUGGGCCAAGAUCAGAAUGUGUUACUUCUGGGGGUGCCUGCAGUCUGGGUUUUAUUUUUUGGUUGGCUUUGUGUUUUUUAGAGACAGAGCGUCGCUGUGUCCCCCAGGCUGGAGUACAGUGGCACAAUCAUAGCUCACUGCAGCCUCCAACUCCAGGACCCAAGCAAUUUUCUUCCCACCUCAGCCUCCCCAGUAGCUAGGGCAACAGGUGCGCCACCACACUUGGCUAAUUUUUAAUUUUUUUUUGUAGAGAUGAGUGUCUUGCUGUGUUGCCCAGGCUGGUAUUGAACUCCUAGACUCAAACGAUCCUCACACCUCGCCCCACCGCCAAAGCGCUGGGAUUUAAAGGCAUGAGCCACCAGGCGCCACUGCUAUCAAGGUGGCCUCCGACAAAGGUGAACUCUGCAACUCUCAGCUGCCUUUGCUCGGAGAAGAGCACCUCA